AGUGGAAAGUGGUGACGAAGCUGAAGUUGGUUUUCAAUUCCAGCUUCCGAUUCGGGGAAUGGCUAAAGGGCGAUUCCACCUAAUUUUUCACUACCUUCCGCAUCUUUAAUCGACUCUAGUUUAAAAACGACAACAGCUAGACUCUUCAAACCUGGACUGGAUUAUUCUGCUCUAAUAGCAGAAUAUUUAUUACAAUGUUUGUGAUUUAUGAAACUUUUCUCUGAUUUGUGAAACUGCAAUAAAGGGCAAUUUUCACCCUUUUUUUCGGUCGCGGUAACAAGAGAUCUGCCGUAAUUCCAAAACUACAACACCUAGACACUUCAUACCUGGACUAGAUUAUUCUGCUCUAAUAG